UACGAAGGGGGCAAGCGUUGUUCGGAAUUACUGGGCGUAAAGGGCGCGUAGGCGGCUUAUCAAGUCAGGCGUGAAAUUCCCGGGCUCAACCUGGGGGCUGCGCUUGAUACUGAUGAGCUUGAAUGCGGGAGAGGAUAGUGGAAUUCCCAGUGUAGAGGUGAAAUUCGUAGAUAUUCGGAAGAACACCAGUGGCGAAGGCGACUUACUGGACAACUGUUGACGCUGAGGUGCGAAAGCGUGGGGAGCAAACAGG
rnacentral:rRNA from 1 species